GCGAUCAUACCAGCACUAAUGCACCAGAUCUCAUCAGAACUCCGCAGUCGAACGCGCUUGCGCGAAAGGAGUACUAGGAUGUGUGACCUUCUUAGAAGUCCUCGUGUUGCACCCC